UCCCUCCUUGGGCACUGGAUGAAUUCUGCUCUAUGCUGCUUUUUACUGUGACAGUGCAACACUGAAUUCCAAUGCAAAGUCACACAGUGAUUUUUCUUUUCAUUCCCCAAGUAUUCAGAUUCUCUCUUCAUGCCAUGUGGUGGCUGCCAGAGAGAAAAGUGGUGUCAGCAAUUCAAGACUGUGUUUCCUUACUCUCUUCAGUGUCUCCUUCCUUGAUAUGAUGCUAAAACCAGGUUCCAUU
rnacentral:lncRNA from 1 species